GCUGUACGGCGAUCGGAGGAGUCGACCGACCCUAGGUCGGUGGCCAGCUGAGCGACGUCGGGCCCCUCCGUUGGUCGGCGAGUCUUACGUGAGUCGGCCAUCAGGCUUCCAGGUCCAGUCGGUCGGAAAAAGUAUGCCCGACCGACACAUCCUCAGUCGGUUGGGGGCCGUUAAUUGGCCGGUGAUGGCGUCUGCCGGUCGGUCGCUCCGG
rnacentral:lncRNA from 1 species